GCUUCUUUUAACUGAUGUUUCAGGUUUGUCUUGGAAAGCCAGCAGUCUUUGCUUUACUGGGAAAAGACUGACUCAGCAGUCUGGGGAUCCCGGUUGCACUAUCGAAGUAAUUCCUUACCUGCUUUGAAGAUCUAAGAGAGCUUUCUGUUUGCAUAAGACAUAAAAGAAGAUGGAAGAAGAUGAGACUUUGCAAGGUGAAACAGAGAGGGCAGAGGUUGAAACACGUGCUGCUCCUGAGGGCAGUCGGCGGAUAUCCGUGAGUGAAUUCCUUUGCCACUGCUGUUACGACAUUAUGGUCAAUCCCACCACCCUGAACUGUGGGCACAGUUUCUGUAGACAUUGCCUAGCUUUGUGGUGGGUGUCAUCCAAGAAGAAUGAAUGUCCUGAAUGCAGAGAAAAAUGGGAAGGAUUCCCCAAAGUCAACAUCUUGUUUAGGGAUGUUAUUGAAAAGCUAUUUUCUGAUGCCAUUGAACAAAGAAAAGAAGAUAUUCUACAAAACAGUGAUGUAGCACGCAGCUUAGCAACCUUCCAAAAAUAUGGGAAUGACCAGAUGCCUACAGUUCGGAACACAGGAAGAAUUAAUCCUCAAGGAGGAGGUUUUUUCUCAGGCGUUCUGACAGCUUUAACUUGUGUAGCAGUAGUUCUACUCGGAUAUCACUGGAGCAGCAGAGAAUUUGAAGAAGAUCAUCUUGUGCACAAGCCUGUUGCUAAAUGGACUGCUAAGGAAGUGAUAAUUUGGCUAGAGCAGCUGGGCCCAUGGGCUUCACAUUAUAAAGAAAGAUUCCUACUAGAGAAAGUGAAUGGAAGACUCCUCCUAACACUGACAGAGGAGGAUUUCACAAAAGAGCCUUACAGUAUAGAGAACAGUAACCACAGGAAAGCUAUUAUGGCAGAACUGGAACGUGUGAAAGCUUUAGGUGUUAAACCACCACAGAAUCUUUGGGAAUAUAAGGCAGUAAAUCCAGGAAAGUCACUUUUUCUUCUGUAUGCACUGAAGAGUUCUCCAAGACUCAGUAUGUUAUACCUAUACUUGUUUGAUUACACAGAAGCUUUCCUACCUUUUAUCCACACAAUUUGCCCCACACAAGAAGACAUGUAUGAAGAUACUGUCACAAAACUAAUAGAUCUUCAAGAUCCUUCCUGGAAACAGUGGAGAGAAUUCAUUGUAAAGUAUUUAUUUUUGCCAUACCAGUUGAUAGCGGAAUUUGCUUGGGAUUGGCUGGACGUGCACUACUGGACAUCAAGAUUUAUAAUUGUAAAUGCCAUGUUGCUCUCUGUUCUGGAAUUAUUCUCCUUUUGGAGGCUCUGGUCAAGAAGAGAAUUGAAUCAUAGUGCUCCAGUAGUUCAGAACUUGCAGCCUGGGACUAAGCAGACUUUCUGAUGCAUCUCCAAGAUCUUGCUAGAAGUGGAACCCAUUGAACUGAUAUGACCCCCAUAGAUCCCACUGAGGCCUAGACUGGUAGGAUAAAGAAGGAGGAAAACAAAGGAGAUUUUACAGAACUUACCAAGAACUUGUUCUUCAUCAUGUCAUCUUACUGUUGGAGAGCAGCUGGUAGGCUUUUUGAUUCUACCCUCUGCUCCUUAAGUAUAACAGCUACAAGCACAAAGUCCAUCCUGUGCAUACAACCACCCAGGCAAAUAACAAGAUUGCAAGUACGUUCCCAGAGCACCACGUAGACUGAUGCAACUCUGGUCAUUUUAUGAUACAGAAAUAUACCAUCUGUCUUUGAGCAAAGCCACAGACAGGAAGAUUCUGGGGAAGGACCCUAUAAAUAAUUUCUGGCUUGCUUGGUUCUUCAGUCUCAACAAGCAUCUCUGCCUUCCAGAAGAUUUCUUACACACAGUAAAUCAAGUUCUACUUUUCAGUAUCUGCAUCCAAAAAAAGACCAGGGCCUGCUUCUUCUGGAACCUAGGACUCCUUUUUGUAUCUAAAGGAAAAGAUACUCAGAAAUGCAACUCCUGCAUUUCUGUAAAACAAAAUUUGAAAUCUCUAGCGUAUCUCUGGAAGGAUGUUUGACUUGCUUGUUUUUACAUAGGUUACACCAACUUGUAUUCUUGAAACGGUUGAUGUAAUGACCAGCAUGAUGAGAUAGAGUGACCUCUCAGCAAAUUUGUGGGUGAUACCAAAUUGGGGGGAGUGGUUGAUACACUGGAGGGCAGGGCUGCUACUCUUAUAGACCCAGUCAGACUGGAAAAAGGAGCUGCUGGGGAACCUCAUGAAGUUCAGCAAAGGCAAAUGAGAAGCCCUGCAUCUGGGUUGGCAUAACCCCAUGUGUUGGGACAGGUUGGGAACUCACUGCAUAGAGCGCAGCUUUAUAAAAAAAGAAGCAGGGGGUCACGGUGCACAAGCUGAAUGUGAGUCAACGGUGUGCUCUUGCAGCAAACAUGUCCAGCUGCAUAUUGGGCUGAGCACAGCUGAUGGGUUUGGAGGGAGGAGAUUCUUCCCUUCCACUUGAGACUUGUGAGACAACAUUUGGAGUUCUGAGUCUCAUAUUAAGAAAGGCAUUCACAUGCUAAGCAAGACUUGUAAAGGCCACCAAACUGUUCAGGGGGCUGCAGCUGAUGACAUGCAAAAAGCUGAGAGCACUGGAUUUGUUCAGGUUUAAAGAUGGUGAGGUGAGGUGAUACUGCUGACUACCACUUCCUCAUGGAACAGUGUAGAAAAUAUGGAGUCAGAUUCCUUCCAGAGGUGCACAAGAGGCGUUUGCUUUAAUGGAACCUGCCUUGAGCACAAAGUUGGACUGCAGACUUGGAGGGAAAGAGACUCCUUGUUUUGCCUACAGGUGUUCAUGAAAGUAUGCCCUGCAGGCAGGGAAGGCAGUAGCCUGUUCUACUGCAAUAACAAAUUAAUUGAUUAAUUAUUUUUCUCAUGUAUCACCAACUAAGCUAUGUAAAUGCAUUGGGGAAAUCAUCCAUACUGAAUUCAAAGACAGCUGAAACUUUGCCUACUUUAUUAAAUAGACAGCUUUGGCAUAAACAGCACCAGUGCCCUUUUCAUAAAGAAAUACUUUACUGCCAA